UGCGCAGGCGGAACUUUAAGUCAGUGGUGAAAUCUUGCCGCUUAACGGUAAAAUUGCCAUUGAUACUGAAGUUCUUGAAUAUGGUUGAGGUAGGCGGAAUGUGUUGUGUAGCGGUGAAAUGCAUAGAUAUGACACAGAACUCCGAUUGCGAAGGCAGCUUACUAAGCCAUUAUUGACGCUGAGGCACGAAAGCGUGGGGAGCGAACAGGAUUAGAUACCCUGGUAGUC
rnacentral:rRNA from 1 species